GACGGGGCCCGCACAAGCAGCGGAGCGUGUGGUUAAUUCGAUGCUACACGAAAAACCUUACCAAGGUUUGACAUGCAAGUGGUAGGAAACUGAAAGGGACCGACCUUCGGGGAGCUUGCACAGGUGCUGCAUGGCUGUCGUCAGCUCGUGUCGUGAGAUGUUCGGUUAAGUCCGCUAACGAGCGCAACCCUCGCUGUGUGUUAUAUGUGUCACACGGGACUGCCGGUUUUAAGCCGGAGGAAGGUGAGGAUGACGUCAAGUCAGCAUGGCCUUUAUAUCUUGGGCUACACACACGCUACAAUGGGCGGAACAAUAGGUUGCCAAACCGCGAGGUGGAGCCAAUCCUUAAAUCCGUCCUCAGUUCAGAUUGCAGGCUGCAACCCGCCUGCAUGAAGAUGGAGCUGCUAGUAAACGCAGGUCAGCUAUACUGCGUUGAAUACGUUCCCGGGCCUU
rnacentral:rRNA from 1 species